AGAAUUCAGCUACAACUCAUUCCUACCAAUUACCUAACACAGUUGAACUCUAUACAGAUCUUUACAGAUGAUGUUUAUGAUUUUUUAAAGUGAUAUUUUUGGGUGCCAUGGGUCACCUUUGAGUUUAAUUUCCAAUGGCUCUAGUCUUUUCUUUUGGUAUUUUGCAACUAAAUUCUAUAAAAAAAACAACAAAUUAUUGAUACAAUUAUUUUUUAGUUCUAUUUUCUUUGAUUAUAUGCGUAAAAGAGGUUAAGAGCUGGAACAACAGCCUCAGUAAAUGUUUGGGUUAAUAUUAUAAUUGCAAACUACAUAGCACUUUGCUUUCACUGAUAAAGUGUCUUGUAUUUCUUGGCAAGAGGCUUUGUUUGUACUCUGAAGUCCAGAACUUUUCGAACCUCCUUGUUGGUUGACUUGCCACAUGCAUUUCAACCAGGUGCACAUCUGUCUGUCUUCAGGCCUCAUGUUACCAUAACUAGUAACUACUCUUGACAGCAGCAUCAGACUUUGGAAAAUAUAACAUGUGGUAGUUGUUGGCAUUGACAAUAACAUGUCACCUGUAGACCAAUGAGAAAUUUAACUGCUUGAAACAAUAAUCUAUCGACGAAAGCCAGGAUAAGAGGCGGGGAAAGUCUAAAAUGGAACAAAACAGAGCAACACUCCAUAAGAAUUUACUGAUUCUCUCUGUUUAUUUUUCUGAGAUUGAACGGAAUGAAUUCAUUGCACUAUUAUCCUCAUCUUUUGUGUUUCUCUUUACAUUCUGACUGGUUCAUUCUCUUGUUAUUUUCAGGUGCCACAUUCCCUAUUCACUCAAUAUGUUUCGAUGUCCCUUCUUCUAUACUAGUAUGGGUUAGCUGAAUCUAUUAUCAAAGUAUAGUUUUACAUCUGGAUACCCUUCUUGUCACUAAUCCUUACCUAUUUUUCAAGUAAGGGAUCUGUUAUUCUCCAUAACUUUAAAAAGCUCAAAGCCAGCAGACAGUUUGUUGAGAGAGGAAAUGACAAAUUUACUGGUUUUAGCAGGAGUUUUGGAAAAGCACAAACAUAAGCAAACACCCAUUAUAUACUUAUAUAUAUAUAUAUAUAUAUAUAUAUACAUUUGUUCAGUUUCUGUUUAUCAAAUGGAUAUAUGGUACCCUGAUAAUUCAAGAAUGGACUGGUUCGAAACACAGGAGAUGAGAUCAAUAGUUCACACCUUUUCAGAGAAAGUUCCUGCUAUUAUCUUAAGCCACAAGUGUGCUGAGAUUAAGCAGAUUGAAGAUUUCUUCCUGUCACAAAUAUGGUUUCUCUAAAUCUCUCAUUUAAGCUUUUCAUUGAUAUGUGGGUGCGGGGUUUUUUUUUUUUAAAACAAACUCCUAAUAAAUAAAUACAUGAAUUAAAGAAUUUUUACUGUAAAUAUUUAUUAAAUUAUAAUUAAAAAGAAACAGUGAAUAAAUAAAAGCAUGAAAUAUCAACAAUGAAAAGCUGAUCUUUCACUAAAAGUACAGAUGAUUGUUUUAAUGAUGUUCCUCUGAUGUGACAUAUCUAUUAGUGGCUAGUCUCUUUACUUCAGGGAAAUGAAGUAUUUAUCUUCCAAGGAAGAUAGUGGUUUGUUUCCGGUAUUAAUAAAGAUGUAUGGAAUGGAGUAUGUUCGUCGGGGUCUGAUGCAUGGAGAAGCAUUGUUCCAGCUGGAGACUACUGUUAUAUGCUGUCUGUGCUGAUGGUUUCCUAGAUAUCUUCAGUGCAUCUGGCUGCAAGUCAUCAGUGUUGUACUGUCACUUCGUUUAUUAAUUACAAGGACAGCAUGCUGUGUGCAGGAAGUAUUUUAAUAGUGGUGUGGGGAGGGGGAAUGUUUGCUUUAAUAAAUUAUGGAGAUAAAGAGCCACCUAACACAUGCUAGUGUAAAAAUAAUUCAGAUAUGGAAACAUUAACUAAGAAAAGAGAAAGUAAAAACGAAAUGAGAGAGGAAAGUCUCACAGCCAUUAAUUAAGACAAAAGAUUAAAGAUUCUAACAUCCACUCAUCUAAUAAGUUCUCAUAUUUUUCUCUCCUUUUAGCUGAAAUUUCUAAAUUUUUCAGUAAAUUUCUUCACAUCUUUCAUGUGUAAAAUGUAAUUGUCUUAAGUGAUUGUUCAAUAAAAAAACCCUUCAUAUAGGAGCAUGCAUCUAAAUGGGUGGGGCUGGGGUACAUAGAUUCAGGAGCAUGUGCUUAUUAACUAAAGCCAUAUUACACUGUUUAUUUCACAUUUCUUGAUUAUUUAUAAACACAAUAGGCUGUCAUUUAAAUAUACAACAUUCAUAAACCGAUUUUAGAAUUUAUCAUUUCAUAACAUUCAACAUACAGUAUAUUAUCAUACACAUACACACACACACACAUAUAUUAAUCUAUAUAUAUAUAUAUGUGUGUGUGCCUGUGUGUAGUCAUUUAGUGGUAACAAAUAUAAUACAAAGAUGGAAGUUUGGUAUAAGAUUAAAAGCGACAAAACCUGCUUAUUUGGAAUUGUUUGGUGGCUGUACACUAUCUGUUAG